GCUAGUAAUCGCGAAUCAGAAUGUCGCGGUGAAUACGUUCCCGGGUCUUGUACACACCGCCCGUCACACCAUGGGAGUCGGUAACGCCCGAAGCCUGUGACCCAACCUAAUAGGAGGGAGCAGUCGAAGGUGGGACCGGUGACUGGGGUGAAGUCGUAACAAGGUACC
rnacentral:rRNA from 1 species